rnacentral:rRNA from 1 species
UACAGAGGGUGCGAGCGUUAAUCGGAAUUACUGGGCGUAAAGCGUGCGUAGACGGUUCUGUAAGUCGGAUGUGAAAUCCCCGGGCUCAACCUGGGAACUGCAUUUGUGACUGCAUCGCUGGAGUACGGCAGAGGGGGAUGGAAUUCCGCGUGUAGCAGUGAAAUGCGUAGAUAUGCGGAGGAACACCGAUGGCGAAGGCAAUCCCCUGGGCCUGUACUGACGCUCAUGCACGAAAGCGUGGGGAGCAAACAGG